UCACCCUGGAAGAUAUCCCCAACAGACAGAUCUGAGUGUGUGACAGAGGCACAGAAACCUUGGUGGUCCUGGGAGUGCUGGGGACCAGGCUAUGCUCCGUUCUGAAGGCUUGUGCAUAAUGGGAAUAAUGUGUCCCUGCCCAUCUCCAGAAGUUUUCUACCCUGCAGGGGAAAGCUCAGGCACGGUUUAACAGAUUUAACCAUUCCAGGGCAGAUCCUAUGGAGGCUGGGAUCCCCAAACUCAGGAUCCACUUCUGCCCUUGACCCACUCGGGUUUACCUUAGCGAGGGAGGAAGAAUCUCCACCCCCAAACUCUUGGACCUCAGGAUAGAGUCUUCUAAGGUCCUUUGUGAUCCUGAGUUUUCCUGGCCUGGGUUCCAUUCCCCCCGCCCCCCCCCAGUUUACCAUCCUCCCCACAACCUCAGAUGUUGGAGGCAAAUGAAUCCAGAUUAGAGGCACCAGAUUCCUACUUCCUGUCCCUGCACCUGCCCCAAUGCUGUCUCUAUUCAGGCUUGAGAUGCUGCUGUUGCCAUGACAACAUUUAAUUCUCAGAGGGGCUGUUUCUAAAAUGCAGGUCUCUUUUUGCUUCUGUCUUUUUGCCCCUCUGACAGUAUGACUUCCAGGGAGGAAAUUGACUUCCUGGGACCUCUUAUUCCUUAUAGGCUGUCUCCCCUGCUCCCCGGCCUCAAUUCAUUCAUCUGUAUAAUGCAAUCAUAAGAACCUCUGCAGUCUCUCCCAAGCUGCUCAGGGCUGGAGCUCCACUCUCUGCAGCACAGUGGUACCUACUCAGAAGACAUCUAUGGCCAAUGGUUGCCACAGGAUGACUUUACUCCCAGGUAUGCGUCCUCAGCUCUGAGAUCCUGGCCUUGCUUGGACCCUGGGGCCAUUCCUAGCUUCGGACUUAUUGCUAGACCGGACGAUGCUGCUUCUCCCAACUCUUCCAUUUAACUCCAGUAGCUUUUCCCUGACCUGUGACCUUUGCUCUAGCCACUUCCUGCUGUGUCACCUCUUCCUCAAGCCAGUUCUACUGCUGGUCUUCCUGGAAGCCCAGAGUCUGAAAAGAGGUCAGCUGAUCCCUGCUCCAGUCCAAGUAAGCAGCAUGUGAAAGAGAGAGACCUUUCCUGACUGAUGCCCUCCGCUUGAAAUGGGGCCACAGCACUCAGCUCAGCCACAGACCUGCUGUAGCUUCCAUUGCUUGGGAGCUGUGUUCUCCCAGAAGGAGAUAACCUAUACCCUGUCUUCCUGCAAAGGGGGAUGCCUGUUUCAAAGGGCAGGACACUCCAGCCAUGUGCCCCAAGGACUUGAACUUCUGUGAAGUGGGCUGACAGUGCUUCCUCAGAGCUGCCAGACUGAAAUAGCUCAGCAGUGGAAUCUAGAGGGAGCUACAUUUGUGGAGAGCCAGCCUGCAUGGGGUUGAGCAAGCCAGACCCUCUCUGUUUUGCAUAGCACCUCAACUUGGGGGAAUCAGGUGGAAUUUUCCAGAAUGUGGCCCCUUAUUUCUAACCGACUGGUUUUCUGGGAAAUGACAGCCUGACCUCAUGGGAGCUGACCUCAUGGGGAGCUGACCUCAUGGGGAAGCUGAGCUCAGCUCAGUUCUAGUUUCACUAAGACUUCUUGCCUUCAAGAGCUGAGGGAAGGACAAGGAUAACAUGAAUGGUCCUGUCUAUUCUUGUAGCUCAAAUGGUCCAGCUCAGACUACACCUAGGGCUGGCUGCAGACAGGUCUGCAUGACAGACAGGCACACUCAAGAGUCAGGGAGCAGGGGCUGGUCCCUGCUACCUAUGUACUGUCAAGCUUUGGCCUCAGGUGGCUGCCUCCAGCCAGAUGGGACCCUUAACUUCAACAAGGCCACUCCAAGAGUCACCAGGAACCCCCUGCCCUGGAUCCCCAGUGUAGCUACAGACGCUCCUCCCUUUGCUCUGUUCCUGUCCCUGGUCCACUACCUGGGCUCAGCAGUUAUCAGAGAGUGACAUCUGAAAAGAAUUUGUGGACACUGCAAGCCUUCACAUCUCCCUGCUCCAAACCCUGGAGCUGUGUCUUUAGAGAGCAUGACUUACCAAGUCCAGGUUCCCCCUUCCCCACUCACAGGGUCUGGGCCUUGAACAUGGGUCCUUGUCCCCAAUCCCAAGAGGAGGCUUAGACUUUUGGGGGUGGGGAGGAUAUACUUGUCUGACCUACAUUUUGGGAAGACACCCCCCCAAAUCCUGCAGGGAUAGUUCGGUCUGUAAAGACCGCCUAGCCUCGCCCAUUCCAUCUCCCCAGCCCCUCCUCUCUAACGAUCAGCUUUAAGGGGUUUUCCUGCCUUCCUUCAGUGACCUUCAGUGCCUUGAUCUCUAACUAGUGCCCUUUCCCCUCAUCCCCCAUUUGACUUCAAAACUGCAGCCCAAUCAACUUGAACUCCAGUUGUGCUGUGGAUGUUUCUAGAAAGAGACAACCAGGAAGAGUCUGGGAGGAGUUUGCAACAUGCAGGUUGAACUGGUUAUCAGAGUUCAAUUCAAAACAAAAAGGAGGGGGGCAGGUUAAAGGUUACAGGGGUGGGUGUGGGGUCAAUGAGACAGUUUAGAGGUAAAAAUCACUAUGAGUUUGAGGCACAUUUUGGGCCAGCCUGGGCUAACUAGUGAGUCCCUAUCUCAAAACAACAGCAAUAAAAAGUUACAGUGGCCAUCCAUUCUGCAA